UAGAUACCCUGUUACUCUAUUUAACAAACUUUGGAUUAGUAUUAAUAAAGAAAUUUAACGGAUUUGGCGGCAAGAUAGCUUUUUAGAGGAACCUGCCCUGUAAACGAUGAACCACGAAAACCUUACUCAUUCUAGUAAUCAGUUUGUAUACCGCUGUUGUCAGUCAGAUCUGAAAAGAUAUUUUCUUAUUGAAAAAGUCAAGGACUUCAAGUAAAGGUGCAGCUUAUGGAGGAGAAAGAGGUGGGUUACAAUAAACUGAAUUACACGGAAAAAGUUAAGAAUAGACUUUUUUAAGGUGGAUUUAACUGUAAGAUUUAAAAAGAUCUGGUGAUAGCUCUAUCUUGUG
rnacentral:rRNA from 1 species